ACCUCGCCAAGACCUUGGAGGGGCAGAUAGAGCUGCAGAAAGCCAGAUGGCAGACAUGAAACAGGGGGUGCGCGGGCGCGUACCGCGACGACUGCCGGCGCGCGCUGCUCUAGCACGCGCCCGCGCGAGACCUCGCCGAACACAUGUGAAGCGGGCAGUGAUACGGACCGCUGUAGUGAUACGUUGUAGUGAUACGGACCGCUGCAGUGAUACGGACCGCUUUAGUGAUACGUUGUAGUGAUACAGACCGCUGCAGUGAUACGUUGUAGUGAUACGGACUGCUGCAGUGAUACGGACUGCUGCAGUGACAUGGAUUGCUGUAGUGCUACGGACCGCUGUAGUGCACCGCGAGACCUCGCUGAACACAUGUGCAGCGGGCAGUGAUACGGACCGCUGUAGUGAUACGGACCGCUGCAGUGAUACGGACUGCUAUAGUGAUACGUUGUAGUGAUACGGACCGCUGCAGUCAUACAGAUUGAGUUAGUGAUACGGGUCGAUGCAGUGAUACGGACUGUUGUAGUGAUACGGACCGCUGCAGUGAUACGGACCGCUUUAGUGAUACGUUGUAGUGAUACGGACCGCUGCAGUGAAUACGGACCGCUGCAGUGAUAGGACUGCUGCAGUGACAAGGAUUGAUGCAGUGAUAAGGACUGCUGCAGUGAUAAGGACCGCUGCAGUGUCACGGAUUGCUGUAGUGCUACGGACCGCUGCAGUGAUACAGACCGCUAUAGUGAUACGCUGUAGUGAUACGGUCUGCUGCAGUGAUACGGACUGCUUUAGUGAUACGGACCGCUGUAUUAAUUCGGAUCGCUUUAGUGAUACGGACUGCUGCAGUGAUACGGACCGCUAUAGUGAUACGGACUGCUGCAGUGACACGGACUACUUUAGUAAUACGUGUAAACUAAGUGUAAUAUUGGCGAGAGACCUGCAAAACAAGUGUGACGAAUUUUGACGAAUUGUUCUUGUUAGUGCAACUUAGUGCAAGAUUGUAAAGUAUACGACAUCAUAAAUGCCACUGCACACAUUGCAUGCAUGUGUUCUUAAUACAUAUGUGCAAGUCCAAGACUGUGUAGCAAAGUGCACACUAAGUAAAUUGCAGUGAUUUACAAAUCACUAAGCGUAACAUGUGUCCCAAUGUGUUAGAAGAACUGUACAUAAUGUACAAUGAAGUAUGAUCAAUAUAGCUCAUGCUGCAGCUAUUAAUAAGUUAUAUUGUAAUAUGGACAUAAUCUCGUUUGCCAUAAUAUGAAGAUAGUAACUUUAUAUCUGACGUAAGUUUGUGAUCAUCUGUCAAUAUAAAGACAGUAACAAAAUAUGAAGUUAGAUUCCCAUAAAUGAUCCAAUCUAUAUUGGAUCAUUGCUCAGUAUGAAUAACUACAGUAAUUGAGGCAUCUUUUUAAUGAAGGCAGUUAUAAAGAUAGAACUCAUUUCAUUAACUUUAUCUCUGACGUAAAAGUUUUUGAUCAUCUGUCAAUAAAAAGACAGUAACAAAGUAUGAAGUUAGAUACCCAUAAAUGAUCCAAUCUAUAUUGGAUCAUUGCUCAGUAUGAAUUACUAGUAAUUGAGACAUCUUUUUAAUGAAGGCAGUUAUUUGAAUUUAGGAUCUAAGACACAACCUGUAAUUCUGAAAUAACUUACAGACUAAAUUAUCACUUUAACAAUCAAUUCAAUGUAUUAAAAUGUAUAUUAAAUGUUUGUCGUAAUAUCAAUGUAUGUACUUCUGAUGUUAUCUUAGAAUAAGAUAGAUUUUUCAAAUGAUAUUUGAUAUUUUUCCAGUAAUAUAAAAUCUGAGUUAAUAUUGCAUUUAUAGUUAGAAUCUCUAUAUUUACUGAAUAAUUCAAAUUUACAUAAAAUUGAUGCAAAAUGGUAAUGUUUUAAUUUUUUAAAUAACUUUAGAACAUCUAACAUCAUAUUUAGUUCUCAUACUUAAAUACAUAAUAAGAUAUUUAUGUUUGUUAAACAUCCCUCAAUAUGUAUAAAUGUUAUUAAAAGUCAAUGUAAUAUCAACACAGUAUUUUUAAUGUAUGCAGGUGAUUAUGUAUUCAUAUAAAUAACUUAAAUGCACAACUCUUUACUUAAAUUGUCGCAGUAUAUUAUUAUGAUUGAGUAUAAUAAUUUAUUAGGUAAGACAAAUAUUGUAUAAAAGCUAUAUUAGUAUGCUCAUGUAAUCGUGUUAUUUUGGAUGGUAAACUGUACAUAUUUAUGAUAGAAUAUGUGGGCUUAUGUAGUCAAUAUCAACUGCAAUCACAUUUUGGAGAGAUACGAAGACAUUUAUAGAUCCAGGCAACAUUUUAUGUUUGAAGCUUUAGUCGAUGGUGGCAAGCAGCUUAACUUAUGCCAUACUCUAUGGUUUUUUGGUUAGAAGUAAUCUAUGGUCAGAUGACAGUUGGUAUUUACUGUUUGAGCUCACAUAAUAGUUUAAUCCAUUAAAUAUAAUGUUCAAAUUGAUAAAACGAAUGUUAGUGGUAUAAAAUAAUAGUAUUUUUGAGAAAUUUAAUUAAUAGGCCACUAUAUUUAACUGAUUUAAAUCAUGUAGGAAAUUUAAUGUGUAAAAAAUAAUUUAAAAUUGUUAACUCGACUAAAUUUUAAGUUUUAUUAUUAGAAUGUGAAGUCAAUUUGUGAUAAAAAUUCUUUGCUUUAAAACUAUUGGUCCAAAUUAAUAUUUGCUCACUUUUACCUUAAACCAUUGUUUUGACUAAAAAUUAAAAUAAUUUAAUUUAUUUGGAAUCUUUUUGACUAUUAUUAUUUGAUAUGCUUUAAAAAAAUGCUUAUAAUCUUUCAAGUAUUGCAUAAAAGUAACAACUUUAAUUCCCAAGCGCCAUAAUAUUGUUUAUUUAUAUCGUAGCAUAAUUAAUUCGCUUCAAUAUUAAUUAAUAAUUAUGAUGUGCAAUAUUUUAAUGUUUUAGCAUGUAAGUUGAAUGUUGCGAACAUUUAAGAUUAUUUUCGUAGACCAAGAUGAACUACAAAUACUUUUUUCAGCUAUUUUAUGUUAUUGACAUUCCAAAUUGACUGAUAGCAGCAGCUUUUUUGGUAUUUUUUAAUGAAUAUUAAGGCGCUCAUUGACCACAAGCACUCACGUGUAACGUUUAUAUAGGUCGCGUAGCGAGAGUUGAGCUGAAAACAUACUCAUAUAGAAGAACUACACUGAACUGUCCUUUAUUUAACACUGACAGGGGGGCCACCGUCAAUAGCGGAUCGCUGGUUCCGACUUUUGCCACGGUGGAGACCAUGUAGUUGAACAUGGCGCCCUUCUGUCAAUGUCGUCGGUGGGACAUUUCAGUGUAGUUCAUCUUUAAAAUGUAAUACUUGAAUAUAGAACAACACAUUACACAUUCAAGUUCAAAUAUCGAAAACACUAGCAACUUCGCUCCUGCUAAAUGCGUGUAAGCGAGACAGAAAACACUUGUCAGUCAGACUACGCAAGAUGUCAGAUAAAAAUAUUUGUGUUGAUCGCCUUAACUCUCGCUGCGCGAAAUAUAACAGAGUGAAGAUUAAAUUAAAAAAAAAUGGCGCCCAAAGAACUGAAUUGGCAACUUUAUUUUUUAUUUAAUUUCAGAGCAGCCAUUUUAAAACUUAUUUAUUAACAUAUUGCUCUCAUAAAUGUCAAGCCAUAUUGAUUCAUUGAGGCAUUAUUAUUUGCAUUUUUAUUUAAGUUAUUUUCUUCUUAUAUUCAGUCAUUUCUGCUCAAUAUUUUAACCAAAUAUACAUUUAUACAAGAUAUUAUUAUAAGUUUUUCAGCUAUUACACGUUAGAAUGUAAAUAUCCACAUUAGUGUAAGGUUUAUUGACUUUAUUUAAGUGUAUGAAUGCCAUGUAUUCAAUUUAGUUUUAUUUUUAGUUUGAAAAUGAAAAUGAAAAUGAAAAUGAAAAUGAAAAUGUUUACAUGGAUAAACAUGGAUAUAUCUAUAAAAUAAUGAAAGACUUGCUUUGCAUCCAUUUUGACGUCUUCUAAAUAAUAUGUCGGUCUCUUUUUAUUGUAUUAUUCCAACGGGAGUGAGUGAGAUAGCUAAUCGUUAGCCUCUUUCUCUUCAGAUUCAACUUGAAAACAUUUUGCUAAAUACAAGUCGUUUAAUUCAAUUGUUGACUUGUUUAUGAAACUAUUAAUUGCAAUUAUCUUGACUGAACAAUUUUUUUAAACAACUUGUUUCAAAUUACAAUUUAAAUGCAUUUUUGUAUGUUUGUGAUCAAAGAAUAUGGCCAAAAUAGUGACAUAUUAUUAUUAUCUAAUAGAUAACAUAUAACUGCCAUAUUUAUAUGUAUUUGGUAAUAUUUCUCGAAUGAAUGAUUUAGUUAAUCUGUUUGUUAAUAUUUGUGUUAAUACAAAAAUAGUAAAAUUGCCACAUACAAAAUUAGUCAAAUUGUUGUUUGGAAUUUUUUCAAAAACAUUAUUGUUACAAUUUUAUUCAAAAUAAAAAUACUUAUAUGUGUAUAAACAUAGUAAAUAGGUUAAACUCAGAUAAUAUAGUAUGUAUGUCUUUCUAUGCGUGUAAAAAAACAUGGGAAUUGUAAGGCGUGUGUUCUGGACUCCCGUUUCGUUUUGUUUGUUUUAUUGUGUAAGUAUGAUAGAAAAAACGAGUCAAGAAAUAUAUUUCUUGUAUUUAAUAUAUGAAAUAUUUUAAAAUUAAACAGUUGGCAACACUGAAACAGAUGGUUAGUGUCUUUUUUAUUUGAAAUUUUAUGCCCCGAAUGCAGACACAGACUUAAAAAGGAAAAAAAUAAGUUAUGGGACACACGCCUUGCAACGUAACUCGGUUGGUAGCCAAUUUUGCUAUGAAAUGUUGCCAAUAUUAAAAUGGCUUGUGUAGUAUGUUGCAAAAAUAUGUACCUAAAUACUAACAGUUCGCUUUAAGUUUGCCGCUGGCGAUAUGACGUCACUCGAAGGAAAACGUCUAUAACUUUAUCAAACUAUAUUUAAAAUAUUUUUUAUUUAUUAUUAUUGAUAAAAAUUAUGUAUUUGCGUAAAAUAAGACACAUUAAUUGCGUUUAAUCACUAACUAAUUGCGUUUAAUCGCGGUUGGGGGAGGGGACGCGCAUUCCACGGACCGGCAAAAAUAGCGCAAACGGGUAGUAGUUGGAGAAAUGGUGCCGUAAUUUUGCACUGUACUGCACUGGAUGGGAUAAUGUAUGUAACGAGAGAAGGAUAUUCUUGUACGUUGAUUAGUUGACGACUACGUUUUGAUUCCGAGAUAGAUAAUAAAAGGAAUUGUAACCAAAUA